UGCCUCCUACGGGGGGCAGCAGUGGGGAAUAUUGCACAAUGGGGGAAACCCUGAUGCAGCAACGCCGCGUGAGUGAAGAAGUAUUUCGGUAUGUAAAGCUCUAUCAGCAGGGAAGAAGAAAGACGGUACCUGACUAAGAAGCCCCGGCUAACUACGUGCCAGCAGCCGCGGUAAUACGGAGGAUGCGAGCGUUAUCCGGAUUUAUUGGGUUUAAAGGGUGCGCAGGCGGCCUGUUAAGUCAGCGGUAAAAGCCCGGGGCUCAACCCCGGCGAGCCGUUGAAACUGGCGGGCUGGAGUUGGAGAGA
rnacentral:rRNA from 1 species